GAUGAACGCUGGCGGCGUGCCUAAUACAUGCAAGUCGAGCGAACGGACGAGGAGCUUGCUCCUCUGACGUUAGCGGCGGACGGGUGAGUCACACGUGGAUAACCUACCUAUAAGACUGGGAUAACUUCGGGAAACCGGAGCUAAUACCGGAUAAUAUAUUGAACCUCAUGGUUCAAUAGUGAAAUACGGUUUUGCUGUCACUUCUAGAUGGAUCCGCGCCGCAUUAGCUAGUUGGUAAGGUAACGGCUUACCAAGGCGACGAUGCGUAGCCGACCUGAGAGGGAGAUCGGCCACCCGGGAACAGAGGCACGGUCCAGACUCCUACGGGAGGCAGCGGUAGGGAAUCUUCCGCAAGGGGCGAGAGCCUGACGGAGCAAAGCCGCGUGAGGGAUGAAGGUGUUCGGAUCGUAAAACUCUGUUAUUAGGGAAGAACAAAUGUGUAAGUAACUAUGCACGUCUUGACGGUACCUAAUCAGAAAGCCACGGCUAACUACGUG
rnacentral:rRNA from 1 species